UACGAAGGGGGCGAGCGUUGUUCGGAAUCACUGGGCGUAAAGAGUGCGUAGGCGGUCCCGCAAGUCCGCUGUGAAAGCCCCGGGCUUAACCUGGGAAUGGCAGUGGAAACUAUGGGACUUGAAUCUGGCAGAGGGGGGUGGAAAGCCACGUGUAGCAGUGAAAUGCGUAGAGAUGUGGCGGAACACCGAUGGCGAAGGCAGCCCCCUGGGCUGAGAUUGACGCUCAGGCACGAAAGCGUGGGGAGCAAACAGG
rnacentral:rRNA from 1 species